UACGGGGGGGGCAAGCGUUGUUCGGAAUUACUGGGCGUAAAGGGCGCGUAGGCGGCCUUCUAAGUCAGACGUGAAAUCCCUCGGCUCAACCGAGGAACUGCGUCUGAUACUGGAAGGCUUGAAUCCGGGAGAGGGAUGUGGAAUUCCAGGUGUAGCGGUGAAAUGCGUAGAUAUCUGGAGGAACACCGGUGGCGAAGGCGGCAUCCUGGACCGGUAUUGACGCUGAGGCGCGAAAGCUAGGGGAGCAAACGGGAUUAGAA
rnacentral:rRNA from 1 species